GGAAGUGGUGCAAACCAUUCCAGUGGAGGAGUCUCCGCUCCUCCAAGCUAUAUGAUAAGGGAGAUAAGGAAACACCACACGCGCACGACUUCCCUUUGUAGUUGUAUUUUUUGAUGCCUUGGGCUACAAGUGCGAGAUAUGAAAUCUAAUCGGUUUAAAUCGCGAUCGUGACGUGAGACUGUGUGGCUCCCUACGACCCAUCAACCUCCACCAAAAUAUAUUGAAUCGAGAUAGGGUUUUUGCCUCUUUUUGCUUCAGCACCACCACCGUUCCGAGCGCCGACGUGCACCGCGAACAGGAGAGCAAGUCUCUAGAAUCCUUCGUCUUGCACUGAGAGAGCGAAUAAGCUUUUUGUGAAGCGUUCUGCAUGACGGCUCAAUAUCUUCACCACGGCACAUCUUCUGAUCAACUCCCCCGCUACAAGGGCUAGCCGUAUUCAUCGUC
rnacentral:lncRNA from 1 species